rnacentral:piRNA from 1 species
CUCAUGAUGAAUCAUAUGUAC